CGAGGUUAGCCGGGCCGCGGCCGGGGGAGGAGGGGCGCCGAAGCCGGUCAGACGGGCUCGGCCCGGGGUGACCCCGGGGUGACCCCGCGGCUCCCACCUAGGGUCUCCAUCCCGGACCUGACACCCGGGCCGGCGUCGCAGGCAGCGCCUGGGGUCCCAGCGGGUGAAGACGGCGCGGCGCACGCUUGGCCCGGCCCGGGGGACGGCGCCACCCGCGAGUCCCACGCACCCCCAGAGCCGCCGGUAGUUCCGGCAGGACCGCCCGAAACGCCCCCCGCCCCGGCGCCCUAAGACCGAGCGAAGGCAAACGGAGGCACAACACUGACAAAGGCGUCGCUCUCCUUCCUCAUUUCACCUCGCCCCGUGCCUCACCUCCCACCCCGAGUGUGCCCUGUGACUGCUGAAGGCUGGCCGGUCACCGCGACUUCGGUACCCAAAUCCACCCGCGCAGAGAUCCCAGCGCUCCACCCCCCGCCCUACGCCUGACCCCAUCCCAAGCCACGGUCAGGGUCCCCAGCCUCAUACCUAGUUCCCGGAGCUCCUCCACUUCCCCUGGCUCUCUAGGUCUUCAGGACCAAUCGACCCCCCAAACCAAAAUCUCCCUUAAUCCCCCCAACUUCUGAGAAGUCGCGCACAGCGGUCCCGAGUGGCCCCUCUCGCGUGGCUCCCGUAUCCUCUAUGCCCUUCCCCGUCGGGGCCACGCGGUUCCCCACGGCCCACGUGGCCCCCGCCCCCCAAGGGAGGGGGGAUUUCGGGGGUUGCCCGUGACGUGGCUACUUGCGCAGCGGAAGCGGCGUGUGUAAGUGUAAGGGAGGGGGGGGGUCCUUCGGGAGGGAGGAGGGCGGGGCCCGACAGGCGGUGACAUCACCCUUGUCCCACUCUCACCGCCCACUCCCUUAAAGAACCCAGAACCCGUUUCACUUCCUCCUUCGCGCCCCCCCACCCAGCCCCUUCCCGUCGGUGCCGCCUCGACCCAAGACGGGCGCAGCGCCCCAGUUCUGGGCACCUCUCCUUCGGCCCCAGUUCUUCCUUGUCGCCUCUCUGAGCCCAAGAUCCCCGUCCCCUCGCCUCUUCCUCGCCUACCCGGCGUCCCCGCAGGGCAGGGUGGUCUGUUUACGCGCAAAGCAGCCGAACCCUACAGGUCGCGGCGCGCCACUCCCCGCCGGGCUCUGCGGACCCCGUCCGCGGCUCUAGCGGAGUUUUCUACGCGAACUCUCUCUGCUCACCACACAGACUUUCGGUCAGUUGCCAAGCCCUGGGACGAGUAGAGCGCUUGAGUGCGGUCUAAGGGUAGCCCUGGCCACAUUCUCCCACCCAAGUCCGAGAACACGCAUGGGGAAACGGGGAGGGGCGGUCCGGGGGUCCGGGCACCGGAGGAUCAAUCCCCGUUUGCGAAGCGGUGCCGAGAGCGCUGCCAGUUACCAGGAAAUGCAGCUUCCCCUUAUGCGAUGAUGACACUUCCCCUCCACCACUUCCCCUUUCCCACGGGGAACUGACUCAGCUUUCCCUAAAGCAGUGAGUCCCGUCCCUCCAGCCCCUUUCCACCUUUGUCCACAACCCCCCACGCCGGUACUCAGAGUACAGCUGCCCUCACUGGGGAAAAAAACUUCCUGUGCACUAAAUACACAUUCACUCUCGCCAACCACCUCGGAUCCACCGGGACCCAGGCGCCUGACUCCCCAUCCGCCCCCCGUACAAAGCCCUCCCUCGGGGUCUGAUUCAGGCUUGGGGUGGGAGAGCGUGAGUCACUCACAAAACCUUCCCCUAUUCCCACUGACUCAGCCCUCGCCUCCCUGAACACACACAGACACACAGUCAGAGGCAGACACAACUCAGCCCACACACCGCUCACCACCGGUCCCGCGGAAUUUCCCCUCCCGUCUUCCCCCACGACGAGCCGCCCCCACCCCGCGCCCGCCAGCCUCGACGCCGCGUUCACACCUGUUCCCCCGGCGCCAGCUCGCGGGCCACUCUCACCUCCACUCUCGCUUUGGGGCAGGAGUAGCCCUCCCCGACUCCCGGUGUCCGUACUAGCCAAGGGGAGGGGACAACCAUGGGCAGCAGGCACAAAGACAGGCACCCGCAGACUCCCUGAAGGAAGGUGAGGGGGAGGCGCACGCGGCCGCAGCCAGGCUGGGAGGACGGUAUACUUCUGGGGCAGACAUUCCUUCCCGGCCUCGCCCGCCCCACAGUCCCCGGGGCCAGCCGCCCAGAAAGGGUUAAUUCUUCUCCUGCCGAGACCACGCCCUCUCCAUCCGGGCACUCCCGGCUAAGCUCAGCUCCGCCCCUUCCAUCCGGGAUCUGGACUCGGGGACUUUAACCGACCCCCUCCGCGGGAGCCCCGAGAGAGACCCACUCCAUUAAUCACACCCACUUAACCCUCUCCCGGCUCCAGGCCUGAGGAGCCCCCCGCGCGCGGGACGCAGGCGAAGGGGCCAGACGCGCGCACGAAGACCCCCGUGCCGGCCGCAGGCGAGACCCC
ensembl:lncRNA